GGAAGGCCUGAAAUUUUGCUCAGAAAUAGAUAGGAGGAAUAUAGACGUAUGUCUAAAUUUCAUGAUCAGAUGCAAAAUUAUGACUUAAUUUAAGAAUUAGGUUAAGUUGCUUUGAUUUUUAUACUUAUAUUGGGCUAAAGGGGAUAAGCAGUAGUAAUUAGUUUUGUCCAAUUCAUUAAUUGUGGGAUACAGCAAUAGUUUAUAGCUCUAACAAAAUUUUGUGCCAGCAGUUGCGGUUAUACAAAAAGAGUUACUUAAUUUUAAUGGUUGUUAGUUAAUUAUUUUAAUAUUUUAAAAAUUUAUAUUGAGAGGUGAAAUUUUAAUAUAAAAGUUGAUUUUUAUAAUUAAAUGAUCUAAGAAAGUUUUGUUUAGAAACCAGGAUUAGAUACCCUGUUAUUCAAAUUGUUGACGUGUAAACCGGAUUAGUAUCAGUUAAGUUCUUGAAAAUUAAAUGUCUUGGCGGUACUUUAACCUACCAGAGGAACCUGUCCUGUAAUUGAUAAUUCACAAUUUACUUUACUUUUAUAAUUGUUUGUAUAUCGUUGUUGUAAUGAAUAUUUCUUAAGAAGUUAAAUUUUCUUUUUAUAAAAUUUUAUUUUAGAUCAAAUCAAGGUGCAGCUUUUAAAAGAAGAGAUGGGUUACACUUAAAAACUUAAAAUUGUAAAUUUUAUUUUUUUCGGAUUUGGUAGUAAUUUUAUUUAUUAAAAUAUAAUGAAUUAGGCUCUGGAGUAUGUACAUAUCGCCCGUCGCUUUCAUAAUUUUUGAAAUAAGUCGUAACAUAGUAGAUUUAUCGGAAGGUGGCUCUAGAAUGGC
rnacentral:ncRNA from 1 species